rnacentral:rRNA from 1 species
GCCUGAUCCAGCCAUGCCGCGUGUGUGAGAAGGUCUUCGGAUUGUAAAGCACUUUAAGUUGGGAGGAAGGGCAGUAAGUUAAUACCUUGCUGUUUUGACGUUACCAACAGAAUAAGCACCGGCUAACUUCGUGCCAGCAGCCGCGGUAAUACGAAGGGUGCAAGCGUUAAUCGGAAUUACUGGGCGUAAAGCGCGCGUAGGUGGUUCAGCAAGUUGGAUGUGAAAUCCCCGGGCUCAACCUGGGAACUGCAUCCAAAACUACUGAGCUAGAGUACGGUAGAGGGUGGUGGAAUUUCCUGUGUAGCGGUGAAAUGCGUAGAUAUAGGAAGGAACACCAGUGGCGAAGGCGACCACCUGGACUGAUACUGACACUGAGGUGCGAAAGCGUGGGGAGCAAACA